rnacentral:sRNA from 1 species
UUAUGGGGGUAGGGCUGGGGGCAGGUGGCCGGACCGAGGUCCCGGGGCCCCCCCUGCAAAUCGUGGACCCGACCCGUUUCCGGGCG